UACGUAGGGACCAAGCGUUGUUCGGAUUUACUGGGCGUAAAGGGCGCGUAGGCGGCAAUUCAAGUCAGUUGUGAAAUCUCCGAGCUUAACUCGGAACGGUCAACUGAUACUGUUUUGCUAGAGUACAGAAAGGGGCAAUCGGAAUUCUUGGUGUAGCGGUGAAAUGCGUAGAUAUCAAGAGGAACACCUGAGGUGAAGACGGGUUGCUGGGCUGAUACUGACGCUGAGGCGCGAAAGCUAGGGUAGCAAACGGG
rnacentral:rRNA from 1 species